AGUCGACGAUGAAUCUUCUAGCUUGCUAGAAGUGGAUUAGUGGCGCACGGGUGAGUAAUGCAUAGGUUAUGUGCCCUUUAGUCUGGGAUAGCCACUGGAAACGGUGAUUAAUACUGGAUACUCCCUACGGGGGAAAGUUUUUCGCUAAAGGAUCAGCCUAUGUCCUAUCAGCUUGUUGGUGAGGUAAUGGCUCACCAAGGCUAUGACGGGUAUCCGGCCUGAGAGGGUGAUCGGACACACUGGAACUGAGACACGGUCCAGACUCCUACGGGAGGCAGCAGUAGGGAAUAUUGCUCAAUGGGGGAAACCCUGAAGCAGCAACGCCGCGUGGAGGAUGAAGGUUUUAGGAUUGUAAACUCCUUUUGUUAGAGAAGAUUAUGACGGUAUCUAACGAAUAAGCACCGGCUAACUCCGUGCCAGCAGCCGCGGUAAUACGGAGGGUGCAAGCGUUACUCGGAAUCACUGGGCGUAAAGAGUGCGUAGGCGGGGUAAUAAGUCAGAUGUGAAAUCCUGUAGCUUAACUACAGAACUGCAUUUGAAACUGUUACUCUGGAGUGUGGGAGAGGUAGGUGGAAUUCUUGGUGUAGGGGUAAAAUCCGUAGAGAUCAAGAGGAAUACUCAUUGCGAAGGCGACCUGCUGGAACAUUACUGACGCUGAUGCACGAAAGCGUGGGGAGCAAACAGGAUUAGAUACCCUGGUAGUCCACGCCCUAAACGAUGGAUGCUAGUUGUUGCCUUGCUUGUCAGGGCAGUAAUGCAGCUAACGCAUUAAGCAUCCCGCCUGGGGAGUACGGUCGCAAGAUUAAAACUCAAAGGAAUAGACGGGGACCCGCACAAGCGGUGGAGCAUGUGGUUUAAUUCGAAGAUACGCGAAGAACCUUACCUAGGCUUGA
rnacentral:rRNA from 1 species